GAAUGAAGAACGUAGCGAAAUGCGAUAAAUAAUAUGAAUUGCAGAAUUCAGCGAAUCAUCGAGUUUUUGAACGCACAUUGCGCCCUCUGGUAUUCCGGAGGGCAUGUCCGACCGAGCGUCGCGUCACCGCUCAAGCCCUCGGGCUUGGUGUUGGGGCUCGCGGGUGCCCUCGCGCCCCGUGGCCCUCAAAUGCAGUGGCGGUCCCUCCGCGGGUCUCUCCCUAGCGCAGUAAAAGCAUUUAAGCUGUCGUUUCGGAGCCCGGAGGUGGCUUGCCGUAAAACCCCAACCGACGGGGCAGUCCUUCGGGCUGCUCCCAUCACCAGGUUGGCCUCGGGUCGGACAAGAUUACCCGCUGAACUUAAGCAUAUCAAUAAGCGGAGGA
rnacentral:misc_RNA from 1 species